ensembl:snRNA U6 U6 spliceosomal RNA
GCGCUCGCUUUGGCAGCAUAUACACUAAAUUUGGAAUGAUACAGAGAACAUUAGCAUGGCCCUUGUGCAAGGAUGACACACAAAUUCAUAAAGCAUUCCAUAUUUUU